rnacentral:rRNA from 1 species
GUGAGGAAUAUUGGUCAAUGGGCGAGAGCCUGAACCAGCCAAGUAGCGUGAGGGAAGACGGCCCUAUGGGUUGUAAACCUCUUUUGAUUGGGAACAAAGAGCGCCACGUGUGGUGCGUUGCGUGUACCUUUCGAAUAAGCAUCGGCUAAUUCCGUGCCAGCAGCCGCGGUAAUACGGAAGAUGCGAGCGUUAUCCGGAUUUAUUGGGUUUAAAGGGAGCGUAGGCGGGCUGUUAAGUCAGCGGUCAAAUGUCAGGGCCCAACCUUGGCAUGCCGUUGAUACUGGCGGCCUUGAGUUCACACAAGGAAGGUGGAAUUCGUCGUGUAGCGGUGAAAUGCUUAGAUAUGACGAAGAACUCCGAUUGCGAAGGCAGCCUUCUGGGGUGUUACUGACGCUGAGGCUCGAAAGUGCGGGAAUCAAACAGGAUUAGAUACCCGAGUAGUCC